GACGAACGCUGGCGGCGUGCUUAACACAUGCAAGUCGAACGGAAAGGCCCUGCUUUUGUGGGGUGCUCGAGUGGCGAACGAGUGAGUAACACGUGAGUAACCUGCCCUUGACUUUGGGAUAACUUCAGGAAACUGGGGCUAAUACCGGAUAGGAGCUCCUGCUGCAUGGUGGGGGUUGGAAAGUUUCGGCGGUUGGGGAUGGACUCGCGGCUUAUCAGCUUGUUGGUGGGGUAGUGGCUUACCAAGGCUUUGACGGGUAGCCGGCCUGAGAGGGUGACCGGCCACAUUGGGACUGAGAUACGGCCUAGACUCCUACGGGAGGCAGCAGUGGGGAAUAUUGCACAAUGGGCGGAAGCCUGAUGCAGCAACGCCGCGUGCGGGAUGACGGCCUUCGGGUUGUAAACCGCUUUCGCCUGUGACGAAGCGUGAGUGACGGUAAUGGGUAAAGAAGCACCGGCUAACUACGUG
rnacentral:rRNA from 1 species